CUUUCAAAAAUUUUUUUAUUUUAGAGGAAGGGGAAUGAGGAAGGCGCACGCGCGCGCUCACACACACACACACACACACACACACACGCAGAAAGAGAGAAAAUGUUUGGAAUUGUGAAAGUGCCUUUCCUAGUAGUUGCUUUUACUGGCGCCCGGGCCUCAAUUCAUUUCAUCUCUGAACCAGAUACUAAAAAUCCUCCAGGCGAGUGGAGAGGACCGGCCUUCCUGGAUCGGGAACCUGCCCUCUGUCUUCCCUCGCAGCGCCCUUUCCUCCUUUCGCUUGGGAAAGGAAGAUUUCGAGCCCCAGGAAGGAGUUGGGAGUGAGCGACAGCCCAGAGCGUCCCAUAAGGUCCUUUUGGCCAUGUUUCUGCCCCGGGGGGCUUCACCUAGAUCCCCCACCCCACCCCUUACCCCUGUUGCAAAUACGUAAGCUGGACGCGCCUCGGUGCGGAUCCAGGCCUCGCUGAGCACGGAACCGGAGAAGCAGCUCACGGCCUCGGAUUCUACUCUCACCCAAGGGUGGAAGGGGGUGACAGGGCUCGGAUCUUGCCCCAAACGCUGCACAGGCCCGCAGGAGAGCAAAGAGGUCUCGGACAGGCUGUCCUUCCCCAGCUCUCGGUCGCGACAAGGUCCCGACAGGCCCGGGAACCGGCGAACCGCCUGCAGGUAACCCUGCGCUGGGUACCUGCCUUCCCUCUCCAGCUACCGGGGCGGGGCGCGGCGCGGCGCGGCGCGGCGCGGCGGGCUGCCCGGGUGGGGGAUGAAGAAAGCACGGCGGACCCAGGGCAGCGAAGCGCAGGUCUUUUUCCUUUUGAGAACUAAGAUCAAGAUUGCAGGGAUUCAGUUAGAAGCCGCUCACCUACCUCCACCUCCCACCCUACCCUGUCCGAUUUGUCUUUUGCUGCCGCAUUGAUUGCUACCUUCCCCCCUCCCUUCGCUUGCAAAGGACACAUCGGGAGUGGACGUUCUGUCCUAGACUUCGUUCGGCUGAUCGAUGAAGGAGACAAGCUGGCCCACGGGGAGGUCAAUACAAUCGAUGCGGACCUCGACGAAACGGAAGAAUCUCGCAGGUUCCUGCGUGCUGGGUUCCACUCAAAAUGUUUCAGGAUUUAGGGUUUCUGCCUCCUCGCUGUCAUUAUGGAACUGGACGGAGGAUGGCGGUGGGUGGGUAGGAAGAAGCCUCAAGGCCCAUUCAGAUGAGCCUAGGGGUACACCGGGCCCGGAGAGCGCCCCCACCCCCACUUCCACCCAACUGGUGUAGCCCAUACCACCGAGUGGUGAAAUCAUCAGAGCUCCCUAGUAGAUUUCGUUCUUGAACUUCUCGGCCUUGGAAUCAGACGCCCGGGUCAUUGCGCAGCGGGGCCACACCCCUUAGCUCCGGGUUCCUCACCUGAGAAAUGAGUUUCUUAUAAAAUGCGAUUUAUUGGCGAGAACAUUUGUGAAAUACUCAGGAAGAUGACAAUGUUCUAAGAGUUCUCCCACACAUCGGCUCAUCAACUACAAUAAUCUAAUGAGGCAGGAGCCUUCUCAGUGAUCUCCACUUUCCAGACGAGGAAACAGAGACACGCAGAGAAAGACAGAGGCUUGCCCGAAGUCGCACAGCCAGUGUUUUGGGGAGCUGGAAUUUACCCUGGGGCUUGUCUAACUCGAGUCCGACUUUUAACAGCAAAACAGUAGGAGUCCGAUACACGCACACAGUGGGUACACAGUAGCGAUCUGUUUUCUUUAUAUCUUCGCCCUUUAGGAAGAGAAAUUCCAUCUAACCCUUUCCCCGCGCAGAUUUGAAAACUGCCUGUAUUCUUUGGUCCCUUCCUUCUGGAAGCAAAUGCAAUUGGUGGGUGGGGAGUGCGAGUCUGACAAAAACCUUCUUAAACUCUGGAAAUCCAGAUCUUUACCGCCCCCUCUUUUUUCAGUACGAAGGAACGAGGGGAAAGUGCGCGCGCGCGCGCGCGUGUGUGUGAGUGUGUGUGCGUGUGUGUGUGUGUAUGCGCACGCAUGUGUGUCUAGAAUCAAUACGGCCCAGACAGCCCUUCACAAAGGGGCUCCAGGCGGGCGCCUCCGCGGCACAGCCUCCGCCCCACCGCCCGCGGCGAAUUAAUUGGGCCCUGAAAGAAGGGGCGACAUAGCUUCCAGUU
rnacentral:lncRNA from 10 species